GAAAUGGUGUCUUUAGACACCACCAAUAUUCUUGGAAUAUUAUUC
rfam:Picea glauca, whole genome shotgun sequence.